rnacentral:rRNA from 1 species
GAUGAACGCUGGCGGCGUGCCUAAUACAUGCAAGUCGAGCGAACAGAUAAGGAGCUUGCUCCUUUGACGUUAGCGGCGGACGGGUGAGUAACACGUGGGUAACCUACCUAUAAGACUGGGAUAACUUCGGGAAACCGGAGCUAAUACCGGAUAAUAUUUCGAACCGCAUGGUUCGAUAGUGAAAGAUGGUUUUGCUAUCACUUAUAGAUGGACCCGCGCCGUAUUAGCUAGUUGGUAAGGUAACGGCUUACCAAGGCGACGAUACGUAGCCGACCUGAGAGGGUGAUCGGCCACACUGGAACUGAGACACGGUCCAGACCCCUACGGGAGGCAGCAGUAGGGAAUCUUCCGCAAUGGGCGAAAGCCUGACGGAGCAACGCCGCGUGAGUGAUGAAGGUCUUCGGGUCGUAAAACUCUGUUAUUAGGGAAGAACAUACGUGUAAGUAACUGUGCACGUCUUGACGGUACCUAAUCAGAAAGCCACGGCUAACUACGUG